rnacentral:rRNA from 1 species
UACGGAGGGGGCAAGCGUUGUUCGGAAUUACUGGGCGUAAAGGGCUCGUAGGCGGCCAACUAAGUCAGACGUGAAAUCCCCAGGCUCAACCUGGGAACUGCGUCUGAUACUGGAUGGCUUGAAUUCGGGAGAGGGAUGCAGAAUUCCAGGUAUAGCGGUGAAAUGCGUAGAUAUCUGGAGGAAUACCGGUGGCGAAGGCGGCAUCCUGGACCGGCAUUGACGCUGAGGCGCGAAAGCCAGGGGAGCAAACGGG